rnacentral:rRNA from 1 species
AUGCUCCGCCAAGGCCUAAUCACCCACAGCAUGAGCCCGUUUGCAGCUCCGGUGCUGCUGGUAAAGAAGAAAGACGACACUUGGAGGUUCUGUGUGGAUUACCGUCGACUCAACACUAUUACUAUAAAGAACAAAUUUCCACUGCCAAUCAUCGACGAGCUCUUGGACGAACUCGCAGGCGCUGCAUUCUUUUCCAAGAUUGAUUUACGAGCUGGGUAUCAUCAAAUACGAAUGAGAGAAGGUGAUGAAGAGAAGACUGCUUUCAAAACACAUCACGGGCACUUCCAAUUCAGAGUCAUGCCUUUCGGAGUCAUGAACGGACCACCAACAUUCCAGUGCUUGAUAAACUCCAUCUUCUAUGGUCCGAAUCGUAAGUUUGUCAUUACGUUCCUUGAUGACAUUCUUGUGUUCAGUUGCUCCCUGCAGGAACAUGUUGAGCACCUUCGCACUGUCUUCUCCAUUCUCCGCCAACAUCAACUAUAUGCCAAAGAGUCCAAGUGUUCCUUUGCUCAGCCUCGCAUUGAAUACUUGGGUCACGUGAUCUCCAAGGAAGGUGUGGCCACUGACCCCAGCAAGACGAGUGCGAUGCGCGAGUGGCCUACUCCAACAAAUGCCACUGAGCUGCGCGGAUUCCUUGGGCUCACGGGCUAUUAUCGCAAAUUCGUUUCCCGUUAUGGAAUCAUCGCCAAGCCACUGACACAACUUCUCACCAAGAAGGGAUUCACGUGGUCAGCUCAAGCACAAGCGGCAUUCGACUUGCUCAAGGAUGCCAUGGUCAACACCCCCGUUCUUGCUCUGCCGGACUUCUCACGCCCCUUCUCCAUCGAGACCGACACGUGUGACACUGGCGUGCGAGCUGUGCUGGUCCAGGAUGGCCACCCCGUGGCCUAUCUCAGCAAGGCGUUGGGGGUGCGCAAUCAGCGCCUCUCCAUCUAUGAGAAGGAGUUUCUCGCUGUCAUCAUGGCCAUCGAGAAGUGGCGACAUUACCUACAACGCGCUCCAUUUGUCAUCGUCACCGACCACAAGAGCCUAUGCAGCCUCGGCGACCAACAGUUGGACACAGAGCUGCAGCGUAAAGCCAUGUCAAAGCUAGUCGGACUCCAGUUCUCCUUCAAGUACCGGCGUGGAGUCGAAAAUGGCGCAGCGGAUGCGCUCUCGCGCGUCGGCCAUCUCCUCGCUCUCGACGCUCUGUCAACGUGCCAACCGCAAUGGUUAUAG